CAGGUUUCUGCUAAUCAGCUGUUUUUGUUUACAUUUAUUUUUUUAACAAAAUUUUUAUUUCUUUGUGUAAAAGUUGUUGCAGAAUUGUUAUUAAUGGACGCUAUAGAAAAUAUUCAGAUAACGAUCAAACGUGUACGCACCAAUCCUCCCAGAAAAUGGAGUGUAGUAUAGGAAAUGGCGCUAAUUGAAUUUUAGAUUUGAAAUAACACACUAAGUUAACCUUCGCUUUACCAAUACCCACCCGGGUGACCACAUCGAUUUUAUUGGUUUAAUAUUUUUUUUUAAUUUUGUUUCGAUUUAAAUGAAAUUUGUACUCACUGAACAAAUUCUAGAGUUCUAUAGAAUUUAAUAGAACCAUUUUAAACUUUUUAUAAGGUUUUUUAAAUUUUUUAAAAUUUCGUUCGUCGCAUAUAUUUAUAGAAGUGUAGUGUCACCCGGGUGGGUAUUGGUAAACCAUGUACAUAAAAAACCUUUGGUAAAGCGAAGGUUAAGAGGGGUUAUUCACAUCAGUCGUAUUUUGUUCAUGAUAUUAUUUUAGUACUUCUGAACUUAGAAUACCUUGUGAAUCCACUUAAUAUAUAUUAAUUACAAUGUGAGUCAGAGGUAAUAAGAAUUAAAUGAAAAUGCAAAUUCAUUACAAACAUAACAUGUCUCUUAAUAACACGGACAUUUCAACGACAACGGAAAAAUGUUUUACAAACAUCGAAUUGGUCACAAAUAUUUGCAAAUUUUUAAACUACGAACAACAAUUUCAAUUGUCAAAUGUCUCUCGAGAAUUAAAUCAUAUAAUUGUGAAUUUCGUAUGGAAAUCUAAAUUUAAAGAAGUGGAAAUACUCAUAUUUCAUGAAACAACAGAUAUCUUAGUAUCGAAUCGAAUUGAUAUACAAGCAAAUGAUUUCCUUAGUAGUGCCAAAAAAUGUGAUAUAAUAAGCAAGCAAAGCUUAUUUUUUAAAACUAAUGACUUAGAUAUUAGCUUAAAUAUAAACGCACAUAAUAUUAAAAAAAUGCAAUUAAUAGCAAGUGAUUAUUACGAAAGUGUUAUAGUUAAAUUUCCUUUAAAGCAAAACUUCAAAAAUCUUAACUAUCUAAGUUAUGUGCGCAUUACAUUGGCAAGUGAGGACCUACAAAAACUGGCCGAUAAUUGUUUGAAACUAGAAACUUUGGUUUUGUGUAAUUGCUUGAAUUCAGAGGGUCAAACAUUGGUUUUAGAUAAUGACAUCGAUAUUCAGAUUAUAAAAAACAUGGCGAAUUUAAAAAACUUAAUUAUAAGAGACAGCAACGGGGACAGUGACAGACAACAUUUGUACACCAUUUCAAAUAUUGAACAUAUUUUAAAUCAAACGAAAUUGCAGUGUCUUAACAUAAAUGUUCAUAUUCAUCCUGACAGCAAUACACUUCAAAAGGAAUUAACUUUUAAUAGUUUGAAAUGUUGCACAAAUUUUCAAAUUGGUCGUUUUGUUAAAUAUUCCAAUUUCUUACAUUUUCAAACAAACAUAUUGGAGAACUUUGAAAAUCUGAGUAAUUUAUACCUUAGUGGUUACAAGAACAGUACAAAAUUAACUACAGACUUAUUUAAUAUUCUAUUAAAAUCCUGUAAAAAUUUAACAAAUUUAACGCUGGAUGAAUGCCGCUUUAUGGAUUUCAUUGCAAUGCCGAAAUUACAACAUCUAUAUCUCCGAGACUGCCGGGGUUUAACUUUUAGAAAUUUAAAAACAAUGUUAAAUGAAAUGCAUUUAAUAUCCUUUUCGUCUGUAUACAUCUCGUAUAGAGGAGAAUUUGAAAACUUCCUUAUUUCAUCGACGCUACAAAAAUUCAGAUGUGAUUUUAGAUGUGAAGAUCUAUUACAAUUAUUAAAAUUCAAUAACCUACUAAAUUUAACAGACUUCAAUUGGAAUAUGUACAGUUUUGAGAAUCGUGCCUUAAAGCUGUCAAAUUUUGCUCCCAACUUGAACGUGUUGUAUAUUCAACAGCUGCAAUUAAAUGUUGAAGACUCUUUCAAAUUGAAAUGUUUACAAAAAAUAGUUCUCACUUCAUAUUCUGGAAUUGUUGUGUCUGAAUUGCUGCUGCUGCUCAAACAUGAACAUUUAAGAGACUUAUCAAUUGACUACGUUAGCGUUUGUGCUGUAGAUGUUGAUUCAAGUGAACUUGUGGCAUUUCGCUGUAAUCUUAUUUUUCUCACUGUUCCCUGGACAAUAAUGGAAGCCAUAUCAGAUUUUUGUUUGGAUUUAUUACAUUUAAAUACAAAAUUAUCCUUAACAUGUUUUAAUAUUUCAAGCGAUUUAAUUACAAAUAUAUUAUCUAAUGCUAAAUUUCCACAUAGAUUUAGCUGUAUAAAUAUCUGUGGUGUUUCUAUAGAUUGUAUUUCUAUCCAGGAACAAUGUGAGGAAGCUAUGAAUCAAAUCAAAUUACUUAUGGAUCACUUUAAAUAUUAUGGGAAACGUUAUUUUACGCUAGAAUAACAUUGUAACAUUGACAUUCUCUAUAAAUGUUGGUACCGUUUUAAAUGUUUUUACUGGAAAUGACUAAAACCAGAUACAAUUCAGCAUCAAUAUGGGAAAUGUUAACCAUCUAAUUUAAAAAAAAAUAAAUUGAAUGACGAAAAAAAUAUUUUAAAUCAAUUGGAAUUAACAGAAAUGUAAUCAUGCAAAGGUUGAAUAAAUUUUAUAAAGAAUUAAUUAUGAAAA